UUUUUUUUUUUUUUUUUUUGAGCUGGGGAUUAGGGGAGUGGGUUUGCCAGGUGAGGUAUAUGCCUUCGGCCACUUAAUCAAACCAGACUAGACAAUGCCCUUUUCUAUCUUAUUACAUCCCAUUAUGCUUUUUAUAGCACUGAUACAUUAAUGAAAUCCUGAUCAAGGAUUGAUUCUCUCUUAUAGCACCAGUGCAAUGUCCAGGGAUGCAUCAUCCAGGUGAUCAUGCGAUUACUCUCCCUUCUUCAAGGACCUCGUAACUGCAACAGCAACGUGAACAUCAUCUUUUGGAAGGUUUUAUGGAACCCUUCUUUUCAGUUAAGCAGGAUAACAGAUGGGUUGGUGAAUAGAGUUUUGGCUCCACUGUCUCGGUUCAUGCUGGGGAUUAAACACAUCUGAUAUUCUCAUGCUCUUCAGGUUCAUUCGUCGCACCUCCAAAUUCUCUCCCCACAUCAGCACAUUCAGAUCUUCUUUCCUCAGCACUGUUAUGAACAAUCCUGGAGUCUUCAUUCCCUGGCUCAGAAUGUCGUGCAGAUUGUGAUUCACCAAAAGACUCUGUUGGCCCUGAUUGAACAGAUAUUUCAUCACUAUUCCCUGCCACAGAAGAAUCCUGACGAGUUUCUGCUUCAUUAUUAGGUAAUUCACUUGGAACUUUAGCAGAUGCAAUGAGGGAAAGGCGGCAGAGAGGGCAAGUAGUGUGAUUGGCAAGCCACUGGUCAAUGCACUCCAUGUGAA
rnacentral:misc_RNA from 1 species